rnacentral:rRNA from 1 species
AUUGAACGCUGGCGGCAGGCCUAACACAUGCAAGUCGAGCGCCCCGCAAGGGGAGCGGCGGACGGGUGAGUAACGCGUGGGAACGUACCCUUUGCUACGGAAUAGCCUCGGGAAACUGGGAGUAAUACCGUAUGUGCCCUUCGGGGGAAAGAUUUAUCGGCAAAGGAUCGGCCCGCGUUGGAUUAGGUAGUUGGUGGGGUAAUGGCCUACCAAGCCGACGAUCCAUAGCUGGUUUGAGAGGAUGAUCAGCCACACUGGGACUGAGACACGGCCCAGACUCCUACGGGAGGCAGCAGUGGGGAAUCUUAGACAAUGGGCGCAAGCCUGAUCUAGCCAUGCCGCGUGAGCGAUGAAGGCCUUAGGGUUGUAAAGCUCUUUCAGUGGGGAAGAUAAUGACUGUACCCACAGAAGAAGCCCGGCUAACUCCGUG